CCCGUCAAGACACAUGUUUCACUUAUCAGUCUGGUCCGGGUGAAGAGAUGAGAACGGCACUAUUGUAUCUGUUUGCUGUGCUGCUCACAGCCACCACCUGCAAAUCAAGUGCAAAUCCAUGUGUCUGUCUCAAGACGCCAAAUAGAACCUUGCCUGCCACAAGGAUAAAAAAUUACUAUGUACAGAACUCAGGCCUUUGCUCAAUUACAGCUGUUGUGUUGACCACUGUGAAUAAGCGUAAACUCUGUGCAGACCCAAAGAAGCCCUGGGUUAUUGAAGCCAUGAAAUUAGUGGAUGCCAAAAGAAGGACUUAUUCCACAACAGCAAGUCCCAUGUCUACUGCUUCUGAGCGGACAGUGGUUAUAACACAAUGUGCUUAAACUGUUGAACAGAAUCACAAUAUCUGUAUUUUAUGUGUGAUUAUUGCCUGGAAUGUAUUCAAUGUUUAAUUACUGUGGUAAGAUGGGAUGUGAGAAGUAGAAUAAAUUUAUGUAUUCAUCAGUUCUAUGUAUUUAGAGAAUUAAUGUCUUGAACAUAUUAUACACAAUUAAAAUAUGUGCAGUUGCCAGAAA